AUUGAACGCUAGCGGGAUGCUUUACACAUGCAAGUCGAACGAGCGGCGGACGGGUGCGUAACAUAUCGGAACGGGCCCAGUAGCGGGGGAUAACUAAUCGAAAGCGUGGCUAAUACCGCAUACUAUGGGAGCGGCCGAUAUCGGAUGAGCUAGCGGGGGGGGUAACUGCUCACCAAGGCAACGAUCCGUAGCUGGGUUGAGAGGAUGACCAUCCCCACUGGGAAUGAGACACGGCCCAGACUCCUACGAGAGGCAGCAGUGGGGAAUUUUGGACAAGUGGGGAAACCCUGAUCCAGCCAUCCCGCGUGUAUGAGAAGGCCUUCGGGUUGUAAAGUACUUUUGGCAGAGAAGCGGUAUCUGCAGAAUAAGCACCGGCUAACUACGUGCCAGCCGCCGCGGUAAUUC
rnacentral:rRNA from 1 species